CCUACGGGUGGCAGCAGUGGGGAAUAUUGCACAAUGGGGGAAACCCUGAUGCAGCGACGCAGCGUGAGUGAAGAAGUAUUUCGGUAUGUAAAGCUCUAUCAGCAGGGAAGAAAAUGACGGUAACGGAAUAAGAAGACCCGGAUAACUACGUGUCAGAAGCCGCGGUAAUACGUAGGGGGCAAGCGUUAUCCCGAUUUACUGGGUGUAAAGGGAGCGUAGGUGGCAUGGUAAGCCAGAAGUGUAAACCCCGGGCUCAACCCCGCGGAUUGCUUUUGAAACUAGCAGGCUUGAGUGCUGGAGGGGUAAGCGGAAUUCCUAGUGUAGCGGUGAAAUGCGUAGAUAUUAGGAAGAACACCGGUGGCGAAGGCAGCUUACUGGACAGAAACUGACACUGAGGCUCGAAAGCGUGGGGAGCAAACAGGAUUAGAUACCCUUGUAGUC
rnacentral:rRNA from 1 species